GACAGAGGCCCCAAGCGUUAGGCGGAAUCACUGGGCUUAAAGCGUGUGUAGGCGGAUCGUUAAGUGUCUUGUGAAAUCCCACGGCUCACCCGUGGAACUGCUGGGCAUACUGGCGAUCUUGGGCCAACUAGGGGCAGUCGGAACAAGCGGUGGAGCGGUGAAAUGCGUAGAUAUCGCUUGGAGCGCCGAAGGUGAAAACAGACUGCUGGGGUUGCGCCGACGCUGAGACACGAAAGCCAGGGGAGCAAACGGG
rnacentral:rRNA from 1 species